rnacentral:rRNA from 1 species
GACAGAGGUCCCGAGCGUUAGGCGGAAUCACUGGGCUUAAAGCGUGUGUAGGCGGAUGGGUAAGUACCUUGUGAAAUCCCACGGCUCAACCGUGGAACUGCUUGGUAUACUGCCUGUCUUGAGCCACUUAGGGGCGACCGGAACAGACGGUGGAGCGGUGAAAUGCGUAGAUAUCGUCUGGAACGCCAAUGGUGAAAACAGGUCGCUGGGAGUGUGCUGACGCUGAGACACGAAAGCCAGGGGAGCAAACGGG